GCCCUUCCCUCAAGAGCCGAACCUCCAUCUCCGUAGACAUGUCCAAGAACCGGUUCUCCCUGCAGCUGAGCUCCGUGACCACUGAGGACACAGCCGUGUAUUACUGUGCCAGAGUGGGGUGCAGG